AGCGAACGCUGGCGGCAGGCUUAACACAUGCAAGUCGAACGGGCAUCUUCGGAUGUCAGUGGCAGACGGGUGAGUAACACGUGGGAACGUACCCUUCGGUUCGGAAUAACUCAGGGAAACUUGAGCUAAUACCGGAUACGCCCUUUUGGGGAAAGGUUUACUGCCGAAGGAUCGGCCCGCGUCUGAUUAGCUGGUUGGUGGGGUAACGGCCUACCAAGGCGACGAUCAGUAGCUGGUCUGAGAGGAUGAUCAGCCACACUGGGACUGAGACACGGCCCAGACUCCUACGGGAGGCAGCAGUGGGGAAUAUUGGACAAUGGGCGCAAGCCUGAUCCAGCCAUGCCGCGUGAGUGAUGAAGGCCUUAGGGUUGUAAAGCUCUUUUGUCCGGGACGAUAAUGACGGUACCGGAAGAAUAAGCCCCGGCUAACUUCGUG
rnacentral:rRNA from 1 species